ACCAAAUGAACAAAGAUAGUGGAGAGGUCACUGUAACAUAUCUUGAACAUAGCUGCUGGAAGAAGCAGAUCAUGGAAGAAGACAAGGUUGCUGUUAUUUUCUGAUCCCCGGAGGAAGCACCAUAAUUAAGCGUGUGAGCUACUUGUCGUCGUCCAACCCCUGGAGAAAGCACCGCUAUCAAAGAUAAUCUCCAUCUUCACUUCUAGCUGAAAUGAAAAGAAAUUCACCCUUCUCUAUCUCGCAAUAGGAGCUAGGAACGUCAGAGCUUCAAGAUCGAUGAGUGUUCUCUAUGCAGACGACAUAAAAGAUCUUACUUCAGGUAUUUUCCUCUGGAUAUGUCAUUGUCAAUCUCGAAGGUUGAAUCCAUAAAAGAUUGAUUCUCAGGUUCUUCUUUGUCUCGUGCAUCACGACUCUCUACUAAUUCUUGUAUUUUAUCGAAACCUUGUUGUUUUGCAGAGCCACAUGUACCCAAACAGUUCCCAGGGCUUGCUGAUUGGUCGGUAUCAUGAGUUGGUAAUAUUGCUCCAAAGGAUUUUGUAACCCACUCCUUUGAAGUCAUGUUCCCGUCAUCUUUAUCUUUUUUAUUAGCUUCUACAUCAAUUGUCUUUUCGACUUUACCAUUUGUUACCAUUGCUUGUAUCUCCUCUUCUUGAUUAAGUGCUUGAAAUUUGUUCGCCACAUUAAUGGGGAGUGUGUUGUCCCUAUUGACUAGUUUGCGAUUGUCUCGCACAACAUUCCACUUCCCUGGAUCCCCCACUAUUUUGUCACUGGAAAGGACCCUAGCUUUUCCUUUCUGAAAUGUAUGCACCUGUUGCUUCUGCGUUUCUUGCGAAUGGUCCGAUUUCGGUGGCUUUUCUAUACU